CGCAAGACGGUCCAACGAUUUACAGAAAAGAGCGACGAUUUACAGAAAAGAACCGAAAAGAACCGAAAAGGACCAAAAAGAACCGAAAAGGACCGAAAAGAACCGAAAAGAGGAUACAUAUAUAUUUAUUAAAUUAUAUAAAGUUAAAACCAUGUAUAUAUACAUGGAUUUUUUUAUAUUGUUAAAGUUUUGACUGCCAACAGUCCUUGUUAAGGUAAAUAUUUAGAA
rnacentral:lncRNA from 1 species